GUCACCGUCAUCGAUGAUCACUCAAUGUUCGAUUUGAUAUUGUGGGGUUUCUAGCGAGAUUGAGAUAAUGAAAAGGAAAAAAAAAAUUAAGAGGAAACUUUUCUUUUUCUUUUUCCUUUCGGCGGUGAUUGUUGGUCAAGCAACAAAACACAGAAGACUGAAAAGAGGAUAAAAUAGAGGAGUGUUUGUGAUUGGCUUCGGCCUACGGUGGAAAUAGUGAGACUUUUCCAAAGCAGCCACAUGGGCUGAUGGCGAAGGUUCUCAGAAGUUUG
rnacentral:misc_RNA from 1 species